rnacentral:misc_RNA from 1 species
GCUAAUUUGAGGUUAAUUAAGUACUUUUAGCUUAAUUCAGCUUAUUUUUCACGCUUCCACUGUAAAGAGCAAGCGACAUUAAACUUGAGUUUUGAACCUUUUUUUCCCUAUUGUCUUCUCUGUUUUUCCUGUUGCCAAACAGAGAAUUUUGCUGUAUGUUGUAUUAUCUGCCAUUUGUAAGGGUCCUAUUCUCAUUUUUCUCUGUUUUGGAAAUUGUUCAAGCUGUCCUAGAUCUUGCUGGUACUUGUAAAUUGCACAGGCUUAUGUUGUUCUCUUUUUAGCAAACCGUUGGCACAAUGUAUUUUUUUUUGUUGGAAUUUGCUUAUUAAUUGUAAACAUUGGUGUGUGCAGGGUUUAAUUUUAUUUUUUAUUAGUCUUUUGAUCAUAUAUUGCCUUCUAUUUGAAUGUUUUCCUCAUUUUUUGGUGAGGUUCUGCUUUCUUGCUCCUUUUUUUCUUUUUUUGUCAGUGAGGAUUGGAUGGGCCAAAAGCUCUUCACUA